rnacentral:rRNA from 1 species
GACCAACGCUGGCGGCGUGCUUAACACAUGCAAGUCGAACGGUGAAGCGCCUUCCUUUUUGGUGGGUGUGGAUGAGUGGCGAACGGGUGAGUAACACGUGAGUAACCUGCCCCCUUCUUCUGGAUAACCGCAUGAAAGUGUGGCUAAUACGGGAUAUUCUGGGUCUGUCGCAUGAUGGGUCUGGGAAAGAUAUUGUUUCGGUGGGGGAUGGGCUCGCGGCCUAUCAGCUUGUUGGUGGGGUGAUGGCCUACCAAGGCGGUGACGGGUAGCCGGCCUGAGAGGGUGGACGGUCACACUGGGACUGAGACACGGCCCAGACUCCUACGGGAGGCAGCAGUGGGGAAUAUUGCACAAUGGGCGCAAGCCUGAUGCAGCGACGCCGCGUGAGGGAUGGAGGCCUUCGGGUUGUGAACCUCUUUCGCCAGUGAAGCAGGCCUGCCUCGUUUGUGGGUGGGUUGACGGUAGCUGGAUAAGAAGCGCCGGCUAACUACGU